GAGAACAAGCCACCCAACCCAUCCGAUAUGUCCGGCAGCUUCGUCUUCCUCCCCAGCCGGGCGGUGGCGAACAUGAUGCGGCGAUGGAACUACCGGGAGGGCUCAGGUCUCGGCGCGCAGGGGCAAGGGAUCGUCGCGCCUAUACAAGCCGUCGUGCGGGUGCGGCGGCGUCCAAAUUCCGGCCUCGGCUACCGUGAGAAACCAUACGACAAUGGCCUCCACGUGCCGCCGGAGCCGCCCGUGGAGGAGUGCCGUGAGUGGGAGGAUAUUGCAUGGGCUAUGCGGCUUGAAACGGAGUGCUGCGAGACGAUCCUCGCCCUCCUGAAUGGCAUGAGGCUUCAAGGGGACAACAGCGUGGAGACGGCGGAUGCGCUGAAGGCCAUGGCCCAGUCCAAGAAUGGGCUCCAUAGGAAGCGCGUGCUGGGGACGUGGAAAGCCAGGCUGCCUUCUUCCACCGCGCGCUACAUAAUCAAGCAGGUGAUCACGCCGAGGAUGGCCGUCGACGUGCGAGAGUGGAAGCCGUCAUGGGAUCCGGAUUGUCACGACUGGCUACGCCCGCUAAUUCCCCUCAUCGGCCACUUACCCGAGAGCCUCUACGGCACCGUGGAGAGCAAGAUCAGUAACGGCGACUACGAAGUCGUCUCGCCAUGGAAGGAAUACCUUAGCCCGGUGCAAUGGGACACCUUCAGCAAACAUCACAUCCUUCCAAUGCUAACACAGUUAGUACGGGAGAUGAGGAUCACGCCGCCGAAGCAAACCGACCCUUCGUUCCGGACCGUGAUGUUGUGGGCACCUCUCCUGCGCGCUCAAGACGUGGUAUCCAUCCUAGAAUCCGAACAGUUCUUUGCCAAAUGGGAAGACGCGCUGGGACACUGGCUGCAAGCCGUGAAGCCCUCGUUGGGGGAGGCCACCGCAUGGUGCACCGGUUGGAAGAAGCUCUUCACGCCGGAGCUGCUCGCCGACGAAAGUGUGCUCGCGCAUCUUGAUGCUGGCCUUGAUAUGGUCGAUCCUGCGAUGCAAGAGCUCGAU
rnacentral:rRNA from 1 species